rnacentral:rRNA from 1 species
CGGGUUGUAAAGCACUUUCAGUAGGGAGGAAGGUAGUGUAGUUAACACCUGCAUUAUUUGACGUUACCUACAGAAGAAGCACCGGCUAACUCCGUGCCAGCAGCCGCGGUAAUACGGAGGGUGCGAGCGUUAAUCGGAAUUACUGGGCGUAAAGCGCAUGCAGGCGGCCUGUUAAGUCAGAUGUGAAAGACCCGGGGCGUUAACCUCGGAAUUGCAUUUGUAAACUAGGCAGGCUAGAGUCUUGUAGAGGGGGGUAGGAAGUUUCAGGUGUAGCGGUGAAAUAGCGUAGAGAUCUGAAGGAAUACCAGUGGCGAAGGCGGCCCCCUCGGACAAAGACUGACGCUCAGAUGCGAAAGCGUGGGGAGCAAACAGGAUUAGAUACCCUGGUAG